rnacentral:rRNA from 1 species
UACGGAGGUGGCAAGCGUUGUUCGGAAUUACUGGGCGUAAAGGGCGCGUAGGCGGCUAGGCAAGUCAGGUGUGAAAGCCCCGAGCUUAACUCGGGAAUUGCAUCUGAAACUGCUGUGCUUGAGUUCUGGAGGGGGUAGUGGAAUUCCCAGUGUAGCGGUGAAAUGCGUAGAUAUUGGGAAGAACACCUGAGGCGAAGGCGGGUUGCUGGGCCGACACUGACGCUGAGGCGCGAAAGCCAGGGGAGCAAACGGG